GCAUCAUCUGCAGAAAUGCCACUCGGCAUUAAUGAUCUUCGUUAGAUGCCAGGAACUAACCACGACCAUCGGUAAAAUAAGAGCAGUGCAGUAGCAGCUGUAAAAUGGUGUGCCGAGGACAUAAGGCAAGAUUACGUUCAGAUGUAUAGGAGACAGGAAGAAGUACUACAGUAAUAGGCACCAGACAAGAAGCAACACUAGAUGGGGCACAUGGAUUGCAGUUUCAGGGCUGGAGUAUAUUAAUUUCAUCUAAAUCUGAAGAAAUGAAUAUAACUGGGGACUUGACAUACCUGUGCAUUUCAGCAGGAAAGCAAGAAGUACUAACAAAAUGGUGUCUUGCCACACAUCCCAGGAUUUUAUGUGAACUCCAGUUUUUAUUGACAGUAGGC